rnacentral:rRNA from 1 species
GACGAACGCUGGCGGCGUGCUUAACACAUGCAAGUCGAACGGAAAGGCCCUGCUUUUGUGGGGUGCUCGAGUGGCGAACGGGUGAGUAACACGUGAGUAACCUGCCCUUGACUUUGGGAUAACUUCAGGAAACUGGGGCUAAUACCGGAUAGGAGCUCCUGCUGCAUGGUGGGGGUUGGAAAGUUUCGGCGGUUGGGGAUGGACUCGCGGCUUAUCAGCUUGUUGGUGGGGUAGUGGCUUACCAAGGCUUUGACGGGUAGCCGGCCUGAGAGGGUGACCGGCCACAUUGGGACUGAGGUACGGCCCAGACUCCUACGGGCGGCAGCAGUGGGGAAUAUUGCACAAAGGGCGGAAGCCUGAUGCAGCAACGCCGCGUGCGGGAUGACGGCCUUCGGGUUGUAAACCGCUUUCGCCUGUGACGAAGCGUGAGUGACGGUAAUGGGGAAAGAAGCACCGGCUACCUACGU